UUCAAGAAGAGGAUGGACCUGGAACUCAGGACUUUAGUAAAUAUUUCUAAGAUUUAGACUUUUUUUUCCUACCACUUAGAUAUCUCACAUCUUUGCAUGUCUGUAUUUGUGUUAGCCUUUAUGUUGCACUGUUAAAUGUGAAAAACUGUUAGAAACAUUAGCAUUUUUACUGUAACGAAGGUCUCCAUUUAGCAUAAGGUUGAAACUUUUUUUUUUUAUACCGUCCUAACUUUCCAUGGGAUGCCGGGAUAUUUCGAGGGUAAGUCUGGAAUUCCGCUAGUUCUGAACUAUUCUUGUUUGGCAAAAGUUCACUACUAGCAGAACUCGGAUUUGCUCCCGACAACCGACGGUAAUGCCUGGCGGCAAAGGUCUUAAGCUGCUGUGUUGAGCAACAGGUGGUUUGUGUGUGUGGUGUGGUGAUUGUUAAGGUGGACAGAAAAUUACUCUGGUGCCAAGUGAGCCAAAUCGGCCACUGCUGAUCUCAUGGCUCUGAGUUCACUUAACAUCAGUAAGAAGUUCUAGGGUCAAGUCCAGUUGGACCGAUUAACUCCCAUCUCUCCAGAGUGAAAAUAUAACUUUGUAUUUGACUUUGGUGAUGAAGUAUAUUACAUUUUUGAAAUGCCAUUUAAGCAAACAUGCUACAAUGUGAAUAUCCGUUGUUUUCUUUUCUCUCUAGGUAACCAAUGCCUUCAUUUAUUCCAAAAGAUAAUCCUAUCCAGCAAACUGCCUUAACUCUAUUGCAUUAAAGAGUUAGAAAGGCUUACGAGUGAAAACACCAACUAGCCAUUACAUUAUGACCAGUGACAAGUAAGGUUUUUCACCAAACUACAAGAGACCAUGAUGGCCAAAACAACAAACAUUUGUCAAAUAAAUAUGUAAUUGAUUAAAGAAACGAUUGUACGUUUUAUUCAAUGUGUAAUAUAGUUAUUUUAUUUGGGA